CACGUAGGGCGCAAGCGUUGUCCGGAAUUAUUGGGCGUAAAGAGCUCGUAGGCGGUUUGUCGCGUCUGCUGUGAAAUCUGGGGGCUCAACCCCCAGCCUGCAGUGGGUACGGGCAGACUAGAGUGCGGUAGGGGAGAUUGGAAUUCCUGGUGUAGCGGUGGAAUGCGCAGAUAUCAGGAGGAACACCGAUGGCGGAGGCAGAUCUCUGGGCCGUAACUGACGCUGAGGAGCGAAAGCGUGGGGAGCGAACAGG
rnacentral:rRNA from 1 species